UACGGAAUUAUCUUCCUCAUUAUGAAACCAUGUACAUUUUAUGUCGGUAUGCUGCAUGUAUGAAAAUAGCGAAAUACUAGUGUUUAUUACAAGAUCAUUCUAAGUAUCUAUUAGAUUUUAAAUUCUUCAUUAGCUAUUUAUGAAAAGCAAUGAACUCGGAGACUUCUGCAUUAUUUAAAAAUAGGUAAACAACUUAAAACUAUAUCC